rnacentral:rRNA from 1 species
UACAGAGGGGGCAAGCGUUGUUCGGAAUUACUGGGCGUAAAGGGCGCGUAGGCGGCCCGCUAAGUCGAACGUGAAAUCCCCAGGCUUAACCUGGGAACUGCGUCCGAUACUGGCAGGCUUGAAUCCGGGAGAGGGAUGUGGAAUUCCAGGUGUAGCGGUGAAAUGCGUAGAUAUCUGGAGGAACACCGGUGGCGAAGGCGGCAUCCUGGACCGGCAUUGACGCUGAGGCGGCGAAAGCUGAGGGGAGCAAACGGGG